UACAGAGGUGGCAAGCGUUGUUCGGAAUUACUGGGCGUAAAGGGCGCGUAGGUGGCUCUGUGUGUCUACCGUGAAAGCGUACGGCUCAACCGUAUUUUGUCGGUAGAAACUGCAGGACUUGAGGCUGGGAGGGGCUGGUGGAAUUCCCUGUGUAGCGGUGAAAUGCGUAGAGAUGGGGGAGAACACUCGUGGCGAAGGCGGCCAGCUAGACCAGUUCUGACACUGAGGCGCGACAGCGUGGGGAGCAAACAGG
rnacentral:rRNA from 1 species